rnacentral:rRNA from 1 species
UGAGGAAUAUUGGACAAUGGAGGUAACUCUGAUCCAGCCAUGCCGCGUGCAGGAAGACUGCCCUACGGGUUGUAAACUGCCUUUAUACGGGAAAAAUUCUUCCGACGUGUCGGAAGUCGAUGGUACCGUAUGAAUAAGCAUCGGCUAACUCCGUGCCAGCAGCCGCGGUAAUAAUCA